rnacentral:rRNA from 1 species
UUAGCAGAGAUGCUUUGGUGCCUUCGGGAACUCUGAGACAGGUGCUGCAUGGCUGUCGUCAGCUCGUGUUGUGAAAUGUUGGGUUAAGUCCCGCAACGAGCGCAACCCUUAUCCUUUGUUGCCAGCGGUCCGGCCGGGAACUCAAAGGAGACUGCCAGUGAUAAACUGGAGGAAGGUGGGGAUGACGUCAAGUCAUCAUGGCCCUUACGAGUAGGGCUACACACGUGCUACAAUGGCAUAUACAAAGAGAAGCGACCUCGCGAGAGCAAGCGGACCUCAUAAAGUAUGUCGUAGUCCGGAUUGGAGUCUGCAACUCGACUCCAUGAAGUCGGAAUCGCUAGUAAUCGUAGAUCAGAAUGCUACGGUGAAUACGUUCCCGGGCCUUGUACACACCGCCCGUCACACCAUGGGAGUGGGUUGCAAAAGAAGUAGGUAGCUUAACCUUCGGGAGGGCGCUUACCACUUUGUGAUUCAUGACUGGGGUGAAGUCGUAACAAGGUAACCGUAGGGGAACCUGCGGUUGGAUCACCUCCUUACCUUAAAGAA